rnacentral:piRNA from 1 species
UGGGAGCUCGUGGACGAUGACAGCGCC